AGAGUUUGAUUCUGGCUCAGGAUGAACGCUGGCGGCGUGCUUAACACAUGCAAGUCGAGCGAAGCACUUAAGAAAGAUUCUUCGGAUGAAUUUUUUUGUGACUGAGCGGCGGACGGGUGAGUAACGCGUGGAUAACCUGCCUCAUACAGGGGGAUAACAGUUAGAAAUGACUGCUAAUACCGCAUAAGCGCACAGUGCCGCAUGGCACCGUGUGAAAAACUCCGGUGGUAUGGGAUGGAUCCGCGUUGGAUUAGGCAGUUGGCGGGGUAACGGCCCACCAAACCGACGAUCCAUAGCCGGCCUGAGAGGGUGGACGGCCACAUUGGGACUGAGACACGGCCCAA
rnacentral:rRNA from 1 species